UUUCAGCUGAAGAGCCCCAAAUAGGACGAAACGCUCUUCGUCCUGGAU
rnacentral:hammerhead_ribozyme from 1 species